UACGAAGGACCCAAGCGUUAUCCGGAUUUAUUGGGUUUAAAGGGUGCGUAGGCGGAUUAUUAAGUCAGUGGUGAAAGCCUGCAGCUUAACUGCAGAACUGCCAUUGAUACUGAUGAUCUUGAGUAUGAUUGAGGUGGGCGGAAUGUGUCAUGUAGCGGUGAAAUGCUUGAGAUAUGACACAGAACACCGAUGCGAAGGCAGCUCACUAGCCAAUAACUGACGCUGAUGCACGAAAGCGUGGGGAGCAAACAGG
rnacentral:rRNA from 1 species